GCAACAGCUGGGAUUCCUUUGCAGCUGGUAACCCCGCACAUUCCAGCAGUUUGGUAAAGAAAAAUUGACAGGAGAGUAUAUCUGCCAGCAAGACUAAAAGACUAAGAACUUCAGAGCAGCCACAAAACAAAGAAAUCCAUAAGAAUCCAUAAAAAAAGACUGACAAACACCCAAUGUGGAGGAGAGAGAGACUCUAAGAUCAGGCCCUGUGGCAUUGAUAAACUUUGGGCCUGGACCCGCCAGAACGUUUCAGUCUGUACCCGACCUUUUCAAAUCGGCUCAGCGCUUUGAUCAAGCAAACCUUGCUCCUGGUUUUAGGUGGAUGUGCCCUGAAUCUGCCUCUCCUCCCCUCUGAAUUUGCUCCGCUCCACUUGCCCCAAUGUUGCCUCGACUGUGCCUCAACCCCACCCAGACUUCUUAAAUGUGCCUUGCGCCUGCACACUUUGACCCUCAACUCAGCUUUGCCUUCACUCACAUCUUCAUUGUUUACAGUGAUCAUUUAUCAUAAACUUUUAGAGAAAUGUGUUAUUAAUCCAGGAAUGAAAGGGUUACUGUAUGAGGAACAUCUGGCAGCUCUUGGGCUGUAUUCCCUGGAAUUCAGGAGAAUGAGGGGGGUGAUUUCAUAGAAACAUUCUGAACGUUAAAAGGCCUGGAUGGAUUAGAUAUGGCAAAAUUAUUUCCCAUGGUAGGGGAUUCUAGGACAAGAGGGCACAACUUCAGGAUUGAAGGACAUCCAUUUAGAAUUGAGAUGCGGAGAAAUUACUUUAUCAGAGGGUGGUAAAUCUGUAGAAUUUGUUGCCACAAGAGGCUGUGGAGGCCAAGUCAUUGGGUGUAUUUAAGGCAGAGAUAGAUCGGUCUUGAUUAGCCAGGGCAUCAAAGGGUAUGGGGUGAAGGCAAAGGAGUGGAGAUGACUGGAAGAAUUGGAUCAGCCCAUGAUUGAAUGGUGGAGCAGACUCGAUGGGCCGACUGCCCUACUUCUGCUCCUAUAUCUUAUGGUCUGAUGGUCUUAAUAAAGUAUUUAGUUGUAUUUCUUGUUUUGUCAACCACCAGUAAGCUGUCACUCGUGUUCAGCAGCGCCAUCUUAAACUGAACAGUGCACUACAUAAAAAAAAUUCUAUGAUUACAAUAAGUGGUACAAAAUAAAUAAAUAAACAAACAACCAGUCAAAAAGAAAACAAAAUAGUGAGGUGGUGUUCAUGGACCAUUCUGAAAUCUGACGGUGGAGAGGAAGAAACCGUUCCUAAAAAGUUGAGUGUGCAUCUUCAGGCUCGUGUCCUUGUCCCUGAUGGUAGUAAUGAGGAGAGGGCAUGUCCUGGGUGGUGAGGUUCCUUAACGAUAGAUGCCACCUUUUGAAAACAUCCUUGAUGGUAGCAUGGUGCUCAUGAUAGAGCUGAUGAACCUACAACCUUUUCAGCUUUUUCAAUCCUGUGGUUAGUGUGAUGAGAAUACACAUAAAUUAAGAUGUUUGCUGGCCUGGGCUAGCACCAGAGGCAUCAGCAGUUGGUCUGCCACCUGUCAUCAGGGGAGGGAGAGAUAAGGCACACGAAGCAGCAUUUGGAGGUGUUAAUGAAGGAGCCAUCAGUCUGGGUAUUGUCAAGAUCGGCUCCCCCUUUGAACCCUGAACUGUUUGAAGUGAUGGACAGGCGAUCUGGAGAUGUGUAAUGAAGGGACGGGGGAGAGAGAGCUGUCUAGAGCGGCUCCCCCUUUGAACCCUGAACUGUUUGAAGUGAUGGGCAGGCGAUACCCCAGCAGGGGGAUAAAAAGGGACAGGUUCGCUAAGGCAAGACACACGACACUCAAGGUAACGAGACCCUGGAAGCGGUGCGCCUCUCACGAGUCGGUGGAAAGUAUCGGGCCACAAACGCACAGGGUGGAAAGGUACGAUCAGUGGGAACCCGGUGUGUGUCCGCCCUUGCUUGGGUGCCGGGUUCACUGCAGAGGAUCGACCGCAUCUGGAGGAGGGGUCACAGUCGGUGACCCCAGGUGACAUCACAAAGGACUCGCCCGAAAGCUGCUUGUGAGCAAUAUCGCCGGUCUGUGAGUGGAAGCCGUUCUGAAUGAUCAGUCGUUCUCGUUCUCUCUCUCCCUCCCCCCACGUCCAUCGCCAUGGCAACGAUUACUGCGAACUGAACUAAAUUGAACUGGACUUUGUGUGUCACUUUGAAAUUGGUCAUUUACCCCUAG